ACGCUCGACACCUACGGGGGCAGCAGUGGGGAAUAUUGCACAAUGGGGGAAACCCUGAUGCAGCGACGCCGCGUGAGCGAAGAAGUAUUUCGGUAUGUAAAGCUCUAUCAGCAGGGAAGAUAAUGACGGUACCUGACUAAGAAGCUCCGGCUAAAUACGUGCUAGCAGCCGCGGUAAUCUGAGCGGGCUGGCAAGGC
rnacentral:rRNA from 1 species